AUUGAACGCUGGCGGCAGGCCUAACACAUGCAAGUCGAGCGGAUGAGUGGAGCUUGCUCCAUGAUUCAGCGGCGGACGGGUGAGUAAUGCCUAGGAAUCUGCCUGGUAGUGGGGGACCACGUUUCGAAAGGAACGCUAAUACCGCAUACGUCCUACGGGAGAAAGUGGGGGAUCUUCGGACCUCACGCUAUCAGAUGAGCCUAGGUCGGAUUAGCUAGUUGGUGAGGUAAAGGCUCACCAAGGCGACGAUCCGUAACUGGUCUGAGAGGAUGAUCAGUCACACUGGAACUGAGACACGGUCCAGACUCCUACGGGAGGCAGCAGUGGGGAAUAUUGGACAAUGGGCGGAAGCCUGAUCCAGCCAUGCCGCGUGUGUGAAGAAGGUCUUCGGAUUGUAAAGCACUUUAAGUUGGGAGGAAGGGCAGUAAGUUAAUACCUUGCUGUUUUGACGUUACCAACAGAAUAAGCACCGGCUAACUUCGUGCCAGCCGCCGCGGUAACAC
rnacentral:rRNA from 1 species